AAUAAGGUUGAGAAAGGUUUCUCUGUCACACACACUGUUGGAAUUAACCACGUGUCCUAGUCCGGCUUGGACAGGAACUAAUCCUCGUAUAGGAGUCGGAUAGGUGUAGGCUAGCUGAGUCGGAUAGGUGUAGGUUAGCUUGCUCCUUUAUAUACUCUUGUAACCCCGUGUAACUCAACCCAGAUCAAAGUAAUAAAGAUCAGCAGGACCGAUACGGCCCUGCAGCCAUCAACUCGGCGUAACCUGUUCCCGGCUAGUUGUGCUAGUUCACAUCCAUCAAUCUUGCGGCGUUGCAUAGCUUGUAGCUAGCCACCACAAAAGCAUCCACCUGCUACCCUGCCUGCUUAGGUUACGCGUACGCGUGCAUCUUCUCCAGAGGAAACCGAUCGGCCGGCUCGCACAACUAGCGGCUGCUGCGUACGUACGUGCACCGGCGGAAAGUACUCGUCCGGAGUGAUGUCCGACGCGGGCCUGUGGCCAACAAUUGGUAUCUAGAGCUUUGGUGUAUUGGCGUGAUUCUCGGAAAGCACUCGAAGGAUCAUGUCGAACACAGGCAAGGAGAUCGUGACGGCAGCAGCGGGAGCGCCGAUGCCAAUGGUGGGGGUGUCGCAAUUCCCCGUCUGGAUCGAGAGGACUACGUGAUGGAUUCAUAUACCUAGGGUAGGGUCAUAGGCCUGACCUAAACAUCCUACCCAAGGACACUCUCAGAAGAGAUCAUCUUCCAGUCGACCAAAGAGGAACCCACUCGACUGACUGGAAGGACUCGACCAUGGAAGACUCACUCGACCAUGAAGACUCACUCGACCACCAAAAGGUCAGAAGACACUCCGCGGCACAACGGCUUGCUAUUGAAUAGACUUAAUGUUAGUUAAGACACUUUAUGAGGGGCGUUACCAGUCACGCCCCAGGCUUAAUGUACUUUAACCUCUCCAUUAUGUGGGCUGGCUGGGGUCCUGGCGCACUCUAUAUAAGCCACCCCCCUCCACAGAUAGAGGGGUUCCCACUCUUGUAAUACUCAUACUCAUAAUCCACUCGACCGCCUCAGGGCUCCGAGACGUAGGGCUGUUACUUCCUCCAAGAAGGGCCUGAACUCGUACAUCGUUUGUCUUCACAACUACUCCAUAGCUAGGACAUCGCCUCCCCUUACCUACCCCUAUUUCUACUGUCAGACUUAGAACCACGACAGUUGGCGCCCACCGUGGGGCAGGUGUUUUAGCGAUUUGUGGAGGAGUUGCAAUACUUCCGAGUACCUUCAUCAUGAUGACUGCUGGAGUUUUGGGUGAGGGACACGAGAUCCGUCUCGGUGCUCUCACUUUUGUCGUCGACGACUCCGCAUGGCUCCAGGAGGCUCCACUUGACAUCGAGGCGCUCCCCGUCCGCGGGGCGACGCACUUUCGCGCAUGUGUUCGCGGCGUUCUGCUGCGGCAACCGUCGACCCCGUAUCGGUCGACUCCUCUAUCGGUCGCCCGCCCAGUCUCCCACCAGCGCAAGCGUUCUGGUCGGUCGAGGCUUCAGCGGUGGGUGAAACACGCGGUGGCUCGCCAGACAGCCACCGCCCAGGUCGCGGCCAUCGAGCCCGACGAAUCCCUCUACGGCCUGUUCGAUCUGUCGACUGGCUCCGUAGAGACUGCAUCCGAGUGUGAUAGCAGUGAUCCAGCGGCGGAGAUCCUCAUGGUCGACGGCCCUCGCAGUCCUCCCGGCUUCGCCCACGGCGGUGGGGCCGCCGGAGGAGGAGACCCCGUGCAAGAGCACGAAGAGUACCAGCCCGAGACACUCGACUCUCUGCAGAGAGAAGAGCUUCGUCGCAGGAACAUGGAUGCACUACAUACUCCUAUCGCCGGAGAAACCCCUGAGGCUCGUGCCUUGGAGGAAGCACGUUUGGCCAAUGUGGCUGAACGCGCUCGCCUGGAAAAUCUUCAGCGAGCACUCGACGAGCGCGCGCGGCAACGACUCCCCGAAGCCAGUCGACGUCGACUCUUCCCACCGACUCAGGUAUACCGCACGCCAGUUCAGAAUUUAGCAGCUGCAACUCGCAUAGCAGAGUCCAUCCAGCCGUCCCAGUCGGAAGCUGGGAGAGGCUUGCAGCAGAUCAGAGAUUUACUCCGAGCGGCAGGAGACCAGAACUCAGCCGUGUCACAGUCGCGCAACAGGAUUCACAGUCGAUCCGUCGCUGCGAACACUGUCCAGUCGGCUCACAGCCCCCGAUCGCCUCCGCGGCGAGAAGGGCGCGACAACCGGCGAGAGCAGCACGGAGACCGAUUCGAUCGAGAUGACAGGCGUCGAGUGCCCCUUUCCCCUCCGAGGGAAGGGUCGUACGCUCCUCGGCGGCAAGAUGACAGACGACAGUUCAGUACGGGGCGAAGAGUUCCAGUCGACCCCAGGGAACCAGGCUUUGACGCGCGAUCCAUUAUCGUGCAAGGCUUGGUCGACAGAAACAGAGCCCAUCGAGGCGGACCCGAGAGGGAUGCACCCACCAGCAGUCGAGUGCAUAUCUCUGGUCCGGAGUGUUUUAGCAGGGCUAUCAGAGCCGCAGUGAUCCCCCCUAAUUUCAGAUUGGCAACAGGAGUCAGCAAGUUCACUGGGGAAUCCAAGCCUGAAACUUGGCUUGAGGAUUACCGAGUGGCUGUUCAGAUUGGUGGUGGGAAUGAUGAGGUGGCCAUGAAGCAUUUGCCCCUCAUGUUGGAAGGUUCUGCCAGAGCAUGGCUGAAUCAGUUACCUCAUAGCAGUAUAUAUACUUGGGAAGAUUUGUCCCGAGUGUUCGUCAGGACUUUUGAAGGGACUUGCAAGCGACCGGCUGGUUUGACAGAGCUGCAAGUUUGUGUGCAGAAGACCAAUGAAACUCUCCGAGAGUACAUUCAGAGGUGGAUUACCUUGCACCAUACUGUAGAAAAUGUGUCUGACCAUCAGGCGGUUUGCGCCUUCAAAGAUGGCGUCAAAAACAGAGAAUUGAGUCUGAACUUUGGUCGAACCGGGGACAUGACCCUGAGUCGAAUGAUGGAGAUUGCUAGCAAAUACGCCAAUGGCGAGGAAGAAGACCGACUCCGAAGCGGCAAGUACAAGCCAAGCCAGUCGGAGAAGGGAAAUUCCAGUCGGAAGCAGAAACGAAAAGCCGAGCCAGCAGCUCCUGGAGAGGCCCUGGCCGUGACUCAGGGGAAGUUCAAGGGGAAGCCCAAAGGAUCCUGGAAUCCGAAGAAAGUGAAAGAUAAAGAAGGAAAUGACGUGAUGGAUAUCCCAUGCCAUAUUCACACGAAGAAAGAUGAAGAGGGCAACAUCAUUUACCCAAAGCACACCACUCGCCAGUGUCGACUCCUGAUCCAGCAGUUUCAGGGAAAACAGUCUAAGGACAAGGAGAAGGAGCCAGACAAGGCCGGAGACAAAGAGGACAGUGAGGAAGAAUAUCCGCAUGUCAACUCCACUCUGAUGAUCUUCGCGGAUGUGGAAAGCAAAAGUCGACUGAAAGUCAUCAAUCGGGAGGUGAAUAUGGUUGCCCCAGUAAAGCCAAGUUAUGUGAAGUGGUCCCAGACACCCAUCACAUUCGACCAAUCUGAUCACCCGACUCACAUUGCCACUCCUGGGCGGCAAGCGUUAGUGGUCGAUCCAGUUGUCGAAGGCACUCGACUGACAAAAGUGCUGAUGGAUGGUGGUAGUGGGCUGAAUUUGUUAUAUGCGGAUACAUUGAAAGGGAUGGGCAUUCCGAUGUCCCGAUUGAGCGCCAGCAAUAUGAGUUUCCACGGAGUCAUACCAGGGAAGAAGGCCAACUCACUCGGCCAAAUAGCCCUGGACGUGGUUUUUGGUGAUUCCAAGCACUUCCGCAAAGAAAAGUUGACCUUUGAGGUUGUGGAUUUUCAGAGUGCAUACCACGCCAUUUUGGGGAGGCCCGCCUACGCACGAUUCAUGGCUCAACCAUGCUACGUGUACCUCAAACUGAAAAUGCCAGGACCCAAGGGAGUGAUCACUGUCACCGGCGAUCGGAAGAAGGCAGAAGAGUGCUUUCAGAAGGGCUCGAAGAUUGCCGACUCCCAAGUGACAGCGGUCGAAUUCGACGAAUACAUGCAAAACGCAGAUCCGAGUGAUUUGUUACGAUCUAAGAAGCCAGCCACAGAGUCUGCAUUCAAGUCGUCUGGUGAGACAAAGCCAGUCCAUAUUCAUCCGACUGAUCCCAGCGCAGCCCCGACCCACAUCUCCACAACACUCGACUCGAAAUAGGAAGAAGCGCUCAUCCAGUUCCUCCGUGAGAACUGGGACAUUUUCGCAUGGAAGCCAGCUGACAUGCCAGGUGUUCCCAGGGAAUUGGCUGAGCAUCGCCUCCGAGUCGACAAGUCAGCGAAACCAGUCAAAGAGCAUCUUCGGCGGUCCGCCGUCCAGAAGAGAAAAGCUAUCGGUGAAGAAGUGGCUCGACUGUUGACGGCAGGAUUUAUUCGAGAGAUAUACCACUCCGAGUGGCUCGCUAAUGUCGUCAUGGUCCCCAAGAAGGACAACUCACUCCGCAUGUGCAUUGAUUUUAAGCACAUCAAUCGGGCCUGCCCGAAGGAUCAUUUUCCUCUCCCCCGCAUCGAUCAAAUUGUUGACUCGACCGCGGGAUGUGAGAGACUGUCUUUUCUAGAUGCAUAUUCCGGGUAUCAUCAGAUCCGUCUGUAUGGACCCGAUGAAAUAAAAACAGCUUUCAUCACUCCAUUCGGGUGCUUCUGCUAUAUCACCAUGCCAUUCGGCCUCAAGAAUGCCGGAGCCACAUUUAUGCGAAUGAUUCAGAAGUGUCUUCUCACUCAAAUCAGUCGGAAUGUGGAAGCGUAUAUGGAUGAUAUCGUCGUUAAGUCGCGAAAAGGUUCCGACCUGCUUGCUGACCUCGCCGAAACAUUUGCCAACCUCAGAAGGUACGACAUCAAGCUCAAUCCGUCAAAGUGCACAUUCGGAGUUCCUGGUGGAAAAUUACUCGGUUUUCUCGUUUCCGAACGAGGGAUCGACGCUAACCCAGAGAAGAUCGGCACUAUUCUCCGAAUGAAACGCCCUGUGCGAGUGCACGACGUCCAGAAGCUUACUGGAUGCUUGGCCGCUUUAAGUCGAUUCAUCUCACGACUCGGUGAAAAGGCGUUGCCUCUUUACCGACUGAUGAAGAAGGCUGACAAAUUCGAGUGGACUCCAGAAGCUGACGCAGCGUUUGCCGAGCUAAAAGCUCUGCUCUCCACCCAGACGGUGCUUGCCGCUCCAAUCAGCAAAGAGCCUCUGUUGCUUUACAUCGCAGCCACUGGACAAGUUGUCAGUACUGUGCUUACGGUCGAGCGGGAAGAAGAAGGAAAGGCCUUCAAAGUUCAGCGCCCAGUGUAUUAUUUAUCUGAAGUCUUGACUCCAUCCAAGCAGAGAUAUCCUCAUUAUCAGAAGCUUGUGUAUGGUAUAUACAUGACCACAAAGAAGGUUGCUCACUAUUUCUCUGAUCAUUCUAUCACAGUCGUCAGCGACGCUCCUUUAUCAGAGAUCCUGCACAACAGAGACGCAACCCGUCGAGUGGCAAAAUGGGCGAUUGAACUUCUUCCCCUUGAUAUCAAAUUCGAGGCAAAGAAAGCCAUUAAGUCCCAGGUUAUAGCAGAUUUCCUUGCCGAGUGGAUUGAACAACAGCAACCGACUGAAGUUCACUCGGAGCAUCGGACCAUGUUCUUCGACGGCUCCAAGAUGCUGAAUGGUUCUGGUGCUGGGGUUGUUCUAGUUUCCCCCAGAGGAGAUAAGCUUAGGUAUGUGCUCCAGAUUCACUUUGAUUCCUCCAACAAUGAGGCAGAGUACGAGGCCCUCUUAUAUGGAUUGCGCAUGGCCAUCUCACUCGGCGUCCGUCGCCUGAUGGUCUAUGGCGACUCAGAUCUAGUGGUCAAUCAAGUGAUGAAGGAGUGGGACGUGAGAAGCCCAGCUAUGACUGGAUACUGCAAUGCAGUGAGGAAGCUGGAAAAGAAGUUCGAAGGGUUGGAACUCCAUCACAUCCCUCGACUGAAAAAUCAAGCAGCAGAUGAUCUGGCGAAGAUAGGAUCCAAAAGAGAAGCCAUUCCGAGUGGUGUGUUUUUGGAACAUAUACACACUCCGUCAGUUAAAGAAGAUCCCUUUACAGAGGAAGCUCCACAACCCAAGAGUGCCACGGACCCGACUGAGGUCGAGGUCCCGGCAGUGGUCGACUUGGUUAUGGAAGUUUUAGUGGUCACUCCCGAUUGGACAAUUCCAUACAUCGCAUAUAUUCUGAGAAAAGAACUCCCAGAGGAUGAAGAAGAGGCUCGGCAGAUCGUCCGUCGAUCCAAAGCCUUUACCGUUAUCAAUGGGCAGUUAUAUAGAGAAAGCCCGACGGGAGUCGGACAAAAAUGCAUAACGCCAGAAGAAGGUCGAGUCAUACUGAAUGAUAUCCACUCGGGGACCUGUGGUCACCAUGCGUCCUCUCGGACCAUUGUAGCCAAAGCAUACCGAGCCGGAUUUUACUGGCCAAGAGCGAAUGAGAUGGCGAAAGAGAUAGUGGACAAGUGCGAAGGAUGCCAGUUCUACUCCAAUAUGUCUCACAAGCCUGCGUCUGCCUUGAAGACCAUUCCACUCGUCUGGCCUUUCGCAGUAUGGGGAUUGGACAUGAUCGGUCCCUUGCGAACGGGUCGGAGCGGUUUCACGCAUGUACUGGUAGCAGUCGACAAGUUCACCAAAUGGAUUGAGGCUAAGCCAAUCAAAAAACUUGACGCCGGUACUGCGGUUUCCUUCAUCAGAGGGCUGACGUUCAGAUAUGGGGUCCCGCACAGUAUUAUCACGGACAAUGGGUCAAAUUUUGACUCGGAGGAAUUCAAGGAUUUCUGCAACGCCCAAGGCACACGAGUCGACUACGCUUCAGUCGCCCAUCCACAGUCGAAUGGACAGGCAGAACGAGCCAACGGAUUAAUCCUCAAGGGUCUGAAGCCCCGAUUGAUGCGAGAUCUCAAGCAUGCGGCUGGAGCUUGGGUCGACGAACUUCCUUCGGUGCUUUGGGGUUUGCGGACCACGCCUAAUCGGUCGACUGGGAGAACUCCUUUCUUCCUAGUCUAUGGAGCAGAAGCAGUCCUACCGAGUGACCUCCUUCACAAUGCUCCCCGAAUUGAACUUUACAAUGAAGCAGAAGCUGAGCAAGCGCGUCAGGAUGCAGUCGACCUCCUAGAAGAGGAAAGGGAAAUGGCUCUGAUCCGCUCGACCAUUUACCAGCAAGACUUGCGUCGCCUGUACGCCAGAAAUGUGAGAGGUCGAGCCUUCCAGGAAGGAGAUCUGGUCCUUCGAGUGGAUCAGCAGAAGCAACACAAGCUCGCUCCCUCUUGGGAAGGGCCCUUCAUCGUCACAAAGGUUCUCCACAAUGGGGCAUAUCGUCUCUACAACGUCGAACACAAUAUCGACGAGCCCCGAGCUUGGAACGCGGAUCUGCUCCGCCCGUUUUACACUUAAAGUUUUUCACUCAGAAGAGUUGUAAUAAAAUACUUCUGUAGUUCAUGAGCUUUGAAAUAAUAGUGUCAUAAUUCCUUCAUAAUUUUUGUCACUUUUUAUUUUCGUCGAGUAAAAUUUUCCCCCAGUGGGUGGCUUAGUCGCGAAUCCGUUUCGCCUAAGUUUGUACAAAUCCUACCGAGUGGUAAGCCAGACUUCCACUCGGAGGCUUAGCUGCGAAUCCGUUUCGCCUAAGUAACAAAAAAUCCUACCGAGUGGUAAGCCAGACUUCCACUCGAAGGCUUAGCUGCAGCUCAGUGCUCGCCUAAGUUAUUAAAAAUCCUACCGAGUGGUAAGCCAGACUUCCACUCGGAGGCUUAGCUGCAGCUCAGUGCUCGCCUAAGUUAUUAAAAAUCCUACCGAGUGGUAAGCCAGACUUCCACUCGGAGGCUUAGCUGCAGCUCAGUGCUCGCCUAAGUUAUUAAAAAUCCUACCGAGUGGUAAGCCAGACUUCCACUCGGAGGCUUAGCCGCGGUCCAAGGACUCGCUUAAGUAUAAAGGGUACUAGCAAGGAAGACGAGGCGCAGGUCGACUGCGAUCCUCUCCUCCGAGCUACACCAUAAGUAUGAUGUGCGUUCGCAAGGAAGACGAGGUGCAGGUCGAUCGCGACCCUCUCUUCCGAGCUUCGCCACAAAUACAACGGAAAUCCUACCGAGUGAAGAGCAAACCUCUCACUCGGGGGCUUAGCUGCAGCCCAGUGCUCGCCUAAGGUAAAAGAAAUCCUACCGAGUGAAGAGCAAACCUCUCACUCGGGGGCUUAGCUGCAGCCCAGUGCUCGCCUAAGGUAAAAGAAAUCCUACCGAGUGAAGAGCAAACCUCUCACUCGGGGGCUUAGCUGCAGCCCAGUGCUCGCCUAAGGUAAAAGAAAUCCUACCGAGUGAAGAGCAAACCUCUCACUCGGGGGCUUAGCUGCAGCCCAGUGCUCGCCUAAGGAAUAAGUCGACUGCAGUGGGCAUCUUGCUGAUUAACCUGCAAAGAAGCAAUUCAAGCCAAAAGCAAUCAUAUCCAAAACAUCCAAUCCAAAUUUAGGUCGAUACCUAAAGGAACCGAGAGUGCUCAGGCGCUAAGCCUGUUAAGGUUUUAUCGGUUACAACUCUACUCGGCAUACCGAGGCAAAUUUAAGGUCAAGGAAAGUUUUUUACCCCUCCUGUGGAGGGCUGGAUGGAGCAACGAACUCGUCAAGGUCAAUCCCGUCGGCAAUCCGCGUAGCAGCAGCAAUGAAAGUCUCCAUGAAGGCCCUGAAGUCGUGCUUUUUGGUGUUGGCCACUCGGAGAGCCGCCAGCUUAUCCUCUCGAGCAUCCUUGCAAUGGACUCGUGCCAGACACAGGGCGACAUCCGCACCACAUCGAGCUGAAGACUUCUUCCACUCUUGCACUCGGUCAGGGACAGCGUUCAGUCGAGUCACCAACGACUCGAGGUCAUUUUGGAGUCUUUCCCUGGGCCAGAGCGUCGAGUCGAUGCGGGAUGUAGCAACCUUCAGUCUUGCAAGAUAAUCCACGACGGCAGCAACACGGGACUCCAGUCGGAAGAUGUUCAUGGCAGUUUCAUCAUUCACUGGAGAAUUGACAGGGUCAAGGUUCGUCUCCACCUGGCUGGUUUCUUCUUCAAAGUUGCGACAGAACUCUGCAAAGACAAAAUCCCGAAUUAAGAAAACAGUCGAAUGGGAACAUAACAGUUGGGAGAAUUGGUCGAGUGAAGAAGAUUACCUUCAAGCAUAAGGAACAAUUUUUUGGCAAGACCACCCAAGAAGCCUUCCAGCUCGUUCUUCUUCCCAGCCAUCUGGUUGAUCUUCUCAGUCAGAGUAGUCUUGUCAGCCUUCAGUCGUUCAACAUCCUUGCUGGCAAUGGCCAGAGCAGCCUUCAGAUUGGUGUUAUCCUGUUCGAGCUUGGUGACUGAGGCCAGUUUUUCAUCAGCAAGCUUGAUCUUCUCAGACAGCUCAAGCUCCUUCUUCCUCUGGGCCUCCUUCACCUUGCCUGUAAAUUACAACGAAGUCAGGUUUUGAAGCAAAUGAGGGGGGAAAAGAGUCGUUGAAGUCUCACCAAACAUACCUUUGGUCUCCUCCUUUGCCCUCGUCAGAUUCUCCUGCACUAGCUUCAAGUCCAGUUCGAGCUGAGUAUGCUUCUGCUCCAGUUCAGUAUAGCGCGUCGCAAGAUCGCAGGAUUUCUACGAAGAGUCAAUCACCAAAAUGUCAGAGAUGAUCCAUUUCCGAGUGAAUAAAGAAAAAUGAUGCGUUUCUAAGACUACAGUCGAAUGCAAGCAUUCGACCGUAGUCUCGGGGACUACACCCAGUGGGUGCACUCAGCGUGCCCCCACUGGUCUUAUUCAAGACAGAGUCGACCAGUCGACUAAAAAAAAAAGAGCGAGUCGACCAGUCGACCGAAACUUCUUCAGACUGUAAUCAACUGCCAGCAGUCGACCACAGUCUCGGGGACUACACCCAGUGGGUGCACUCAGCGUGCCCCCACUGAUCUCAGGAACCCAUUCGUUCCAUUCGAGUGAUGAUCAACAUCUACUUAGUAAGCCUAAGACCGACUGCCAGCAGUCGACCUUAGCCUUGGGGACUACACCCAGCGGGUGCACUCAGCGUGCCCCCGCUAACACGGAGUUUUUACCAACACACCCAGUGGGUGACUGCUAUGAAUUCCAGAAAGAAAAGUUUUGAUAAUAUAUCCUAACAGAACAGGCGGUGGUCGACUGACCUGAACAUUGCUCUGAAGAGCGGAGCUGGCGUCGUAAGCUGCUUGGCUCGCAUCCCGAACGAUCUUCACCUGCUCCAUCAUGAUCUCUGCUUGACGGAUAGCCUCCUUAGCAGCACUAGCCUGGUCCUCCGGGACGUGGUGCGUGGCGAAGAUCGAUGGCUGCCCAGCACUCGACGAAGUGGGUCGAGCACUCGUCAACGGCACCGCGAAUGACACGGUGUGUCGAGUGCCGACCUCCCCUUCCGUCGCAAUGGUCUCGGGCGCCACCACACCUUGGGCUGCAUGGCCAGUAGAUGCCUUCCUGCUCCGCCUAGCCCUCAAUGGUUCCUCAUCCUCAUCAUCGUCGUCAGGAAGGGUGAUAAUGUCAUUGGUUGGGGCUUCAGGAAAAAGUCAAAGUCAGAAAUUAUGCAUCAGUCGACCAAGAACAAGAUUUAAAGUUGUAGUACCGGGAUUUGAAGUCGCCGCGUCCUCCAUCUCAUAGUCCUCAGCCUUGCCUGAGGUUUCGGAAGUCGCAGCCGCUGAAAUGGUGGGGAUGGCUACCUUCAUCUUUGGCAGAGGCUUGGUCGUCCUCGACGGAGCUACUUUCGACUGCUUCGGCGCCUUCUCAGUCGGCACCGGAGAAGCGGGACGAGGGCGUUUGGUCGACUGUGAAGCAGUCGCCACUCCCUUGCCGCGUUCAGCCGAAGGGUCGUGCACAAGUUUUGACCGCCUUUCCGAGCGCGGUGGUGCCUCCUCCUCCUCUUCAUCCUCGUCGUCAUCAUCCUCGUCAUCAUCAUCGUCGUCAUCGUCGUCUUCUGCAGCGUCUGAAUCCCACUCUUCCUGGCUCUCGCCGCCGCUGCCUUCCCCCUCCUCAGUCGGAGUCUGAGCGCCAUUGGGCAUUGAGUACAGUUCGGUAAGAGCCUGGGAAUAUCAAAGCAAAGUUCAGUCGACCAAGUUACAGAAACACACUCGACGGAUGUACAACGGAAAACAGAGCAAAGGUACCUUUUCUGGAACGCUGUCGCGAUCAAGUGGGGAAAUCCUCCGGGAUCCGCGAGGGUUGUCCUUGUUUCCGGUGAUCGCAGCCAUCCAUCUUUCCACUAUGGCAUCGUCGACUGCCUCCGGAUGGACGCGAGUCUCGUCUUCGGUGCCACAGUACAGCCACAUGCAGUGGCUCCGGAACUGAAGAGGCUGGAUUCGCCUCCGAAGAAAAACCUCCAGGAGGUCCAUGCCAGUCACACCAUCCCGAACCAGCUGCACCACGCGAUCCAUCAACAUCUUCACCUCAGUCCUCUCCUCUGGAACUACCUUCAGGGAGGAGGGUCUGUUCACUCGACUCAUGGUGAAUGCAGGAAGACCAGUCGACUGCCCCGGCGUCGUCUCAUUCCGGCAAUAGAACCAGGUCGACUGCCAGCCCCUGACCGACUCGGGAAAAGACAUAGCUGGGAAGGUGCUUUUAUUCCUCAACUGGACCCCUAAGCCACCACACAUCUGAACUACUUGGGUCUUCUCGUCGCCAGGGCUUGCCUUCUUCACAGUCUGAGAGCGACAUGUGAAGAUGUACUUGAACAAACCCCAGUGCGGUCGACAGCCCAGGAAGUUUUCGCACAUAGACACAAACGCAGCAAGAUACGCAAUGGAGUUUGGAGUAAAAUGAUGGAGCUGGGCUCCGAAGAAAUUCAGAAAACCCCGAAAGAAAACACUCGGUGGCAAUGAAAAUCCCCGGUCGACAUGGGUGGCCAGGAGCACGCACUCACCCUCUUCUGGCUGGGGCUGCCACUCUCGGCCAGGAAGCCUCGCGGCACCGUGGGGGAUCAACCCGUCGUUGGCCAUAUCGAGGAGAUCCUUUUCCUUGAUGGUCGACUGGAUCCAAUCUCCCUGGACCCAGCCCUUCGGCAGGUUGGAUCUCGACGAGGAACCACCACGGCCGGUAGAUCUCCCCUUUGCCUUCUCGGCCGCCGACGCCUUCUCCGCCGCCGACGCCUUCUUCGCGCGCUCCAACAUCGUCGUCUUCUCUUUGCCCAUGGCCGCCGACGGAAUGCGCAGGAGAGGAGGUAGCCAGAGAGCAGCAGCGGUUGCGGAGGGCGGAGACGAGGAGAGCAGAGGAGGAAGAGCGGGGUACUGUGCAUAAGCCCCCGAGAGUUGCAUUUAUAGCAUCCCUUCCGAGUGGAUGACAGGUGGACCCGGGCAAUCCAAUCAUAUCCCGAACAGUUGCGCUGCACGAUACGUGGCGGAAAAAGCGGCGCGGAAAUCGAGGCGUUCCUGUUAUGUCCCAUCCGAACGCCGCAGUCCGUUCCGCUUCGCGCGCUUCCCCAAAUUUCGUAUCCCGCGAGAUCCGCGAGGGACAGAUCGGUCUGUCAAGCGCGAGAUUUCCUGCGAUCCGUCGCUCGGGAAUAGCAAAGUAAAAGAAGGUCACUCGACCAAAGAACAAGAAUGGAUCAAGUCGACUGAAGAAAAGUUGCUUGUUAUCAACAGGGAAGAUCUUGAUCCAAGACAACACGUAGCUGGUACGCAAAAGACAAUCGGAAACAACGUCAACUCCUCCUUCACUCAAGCCUCAAUCCAUUCGGGGGCUAAUGAUGGAUUCAUAUACCUAGGGUAGGGUCAUAGGCCUGACCUAAACAUCCUACCCAAGGACACUCUCAGAAGAGAUCAUCUUUCAGUCGACCAAAGAGGAACCCACUCGACUGACUGGAAGGACUCGACCAUGGAAGACUCACUCGACCAUGAAGACUCACUCGACCACCAGAAGGUCAGAAGACACUCCGCGGCACAACGGCUUGCUAUUGAAUAGACUUAAUGUUAGUUAAGACACUUUAUGAGGGGCGUUACCAGUAACGCCCCAGGCUUAAUGUACUUUAACCUCUCCAUUAUGUGGGCUGGCUGGGGUCCUGGCGCACUCUAUAUAAGCCACCCCCCUCCACAGAUAGAGGGGUUCCCACUCUUGUAAUACUCAUACUCAUAAUCCACUCGACCGCCUCAGGGCUCCGAGACGUAGGGCUGUUACUUCCUCCGAGAAGGGCCUGAACUCGUACAUCGUUUGUCUUCACAACUACUCCAUAGCUAGGACAUCGCCUCCCCUUACCUACCCCUAUUUCUACUGUCAGACUUAGAACCACGACACUACGCACUAUGGGCGAUGAACAUGGAGGUCGCGAUGGAGGGAGCGGAGUUCUGGGAAGCCGUCGACCCCGGCGGCGCCGAGUACGCAAAGGGCGCGGCGAAGUACCGGAAGGAUCGUCAGGCGUUAACGGCGAUCUACUCCGCCAUGCCGAAGGAUGUGCUGCAACACCUCGUCGGAAAGUACUCGUCCGGAGUGACGUCCCACGCGGGCCUGUGGCCAAACACACACAAAAUAUAAGGUAGAUCAUAAAUAUUCCAUUACACGGCGGCAAGGAGCUCCCCGCCCAUGAUACCACUGAGGCCUUCAACAUUUCUCGUAAACUACAACACUGAGAUCUUUUUUCCAGAACACGCACAAGUGAUGUGCUUUAUUUAUUACUAUUAAUAAGGCAGAGAAAGGUUUCUCUGUCCCACACAACAUAGAAGGUACUGUAGAUAAUAAAGGUUUCACUACAUGGUGGCCGGGAGCUCCCCACCCAUGCCACCAGUGGGGUCUUGAACCUCCCCACCCAUGCCACCAGUGGGGCCUUCAACCUCCCCACCACCGAUGCCACCGAGGCCUUGAACCGGCAGGUCGGUGUGCUCUUCAAAGGGGAAUGGCUCUAGUUUUGGCUGAG
rnacentral:lncRNA from 1 species